rnacentral:rRNA from 1 species
UACGUAGGGUGCGAGCGUUGCCCGGAUUUAUUGGGCGUAAAGGGCGCGUAGGCGGCCACGCACGUCCGUUGUGAAAUCGCCCGGCUCAACUGGGCGGGGUCGGCGGAUACGGCGUGGCUGGAGCAAGCUAGGGGGCAAUGGAAUUCCCGGUGUAGCGGUGAAAUGCGUAGAUAUCGGAAGGAACACCUGUGGCGAAAGCGGCUCACUGGACCAUAACUGACGCUGAGGCGCGAAAGCUAGGGGAGCAAACAGG